GCCUGCGUGGCUUAGUCAGUUAAGUGUCUGACUUCAGCUCAGAUCAUGAUCUUGCGGUCCUUGGGUUCAAGCCCUGCGAUGGCU
rnacentral:tRNA from 1 species